GACGAACGCUGGCGGCGUGCUUAACACAUGCAAGUCGAACGGAAAGGCCCUGCUUUUGUGGGGUGCUCGAGUGGCGAACGGGUGAGUAACACGUGAGUAACCUGCCCUUGACUUUGGGAUAACUUCAGGAAACUGGGGCUAAUACCGGAUAGGAGCUCCUGCUGCAUGGUGGGGGUUGGAACGUUUCGGCGGUUGGGGAUGGACUCGCGGCUUAUCAGCUUGUUGGUGGGGUAGUGGCUUACCAAGGCUUUGACGGGUAGCCGGCCUGAGAGGGUGACCGGCCACAUUGGGACUGAGAUACGGCCCAGACUCCUACGGGAGGCAGCAGUGGGGAAUAUUGCACAAUGGGCGGAAGCCUGAUGAAGCAACGCCGCGUGCGGGAUGACGGCCUUCGGGUUGUAAACCGCUUUAGCCUGUGACGAAGCGUGAGUGACGGUAAUGGGUAAAGAAGCACCGGCUAACUACGUG
rnacentral:rRNA from 1 species